GCAUCGAUAGCUUAGUGGCAGAGCAGUGAGGCAUUGACCCAUGCGGCUCGAUUUCGAGCCCCGAUCGAUGCA